AUGAACGCUGGCGGCGUGCUUAACACAUGCAAGUCGAACGAUGAAGGAAGCUUGCUUCUGGAUUAGUGGCGAACGGGUGAGUAACACGUGAGUAACCUGCCCUUGACUCUGGGAUAAGCACUGGAAACGGUGUCUAAUACCGGAUACGACCUUCAGCCGCAUGGCUAGGGGGUGGAAAGAAUUUUGGUCAAGGAUGGACUCGCGGCCUAUCAGCUUGUUGGUGAGGUAAUGGCUCACCAAGGCGACGACGGGUAGCCG
rnacentral:rRNA from 1 species